rnacentral:rRNA from 1 species
UACGGAGGGUGCAAGCGUUAAUCGGAAUUACUGGGCGUAAAGCGUGCGUAGGCGGUUCGUUAAGUCUGUUGUGAAAGCCCCGGGCUCAACCUGGGAAUGGCAAUGGAUACUGGCGAGCUAGAGUGUGUCAGAGGAUGGUGGAAUUCCCGGUGUAGCGGUGAAAUGCGUAGAGAUCGGGAGGAACAUCAGUGGCGGAAGGCGGCCAUCUGGGACAACACUGACGCUGAGGCACGAAAGCGUGGGGAGCAAACAGGA